AGUGAACGCUGGCGGUAGGCCUAACACAUGCAAGUCGAACGGCAGCACAGUAAGAGCUUGCUCUUACGGGUGGCGAGUGGCGGACGGGUGAGGAAUACAUCGGAAUCUACUUUUUCGUGGGGGAUAACGUAGGGAAACUUACGCUAAUACCGCAUACGACCUACGGGUGAAAGCAGGGGAUCUUCGGACCUUGCGCGAUUGAAUGAGCCGAUGUCGGAUUAGCUAGUUGGCGGGGUAAAGGCCCACCACGGCGACGAUCGGCAGCUGGUCUGAGAGGAUGUCGCCCGACAGUGAAAGUGAGAGACGGCCAAGGCUCCUACGGGAGGCAGAGGUGGGGAAGAUUGGCAAAGGGGGGCAACAUUGCCCCAGCCAUACAGGGUGGGUGAAGAAGGCCUUCGGGUGGUAAAGCCCUUUUCUUGGGAAAGAAAGGUAGCAGGUGAAACCCCGGGUGUUCGACGGGAACCCAAAGAAUAGCAACGGGUAAAUUCGUU
rnacentral:rRNA from 1 species